GGGUUUCUCCUUUCUUCCCUUGCCUAGCUGCAUGGGUACAGGGCCUGCUGGGAAAUCUCAGGGCCCACUGCUUCUUAUUAGGUGAAAGGACUGGCAGGAGCAGCACUGUCCUGGAAGAUGCUCUAGAAACAGAGGGAAAGGCUGAUAGUCACUCCUUGCUGAAAGGAAGCUGGUGAAGGAGGCAGGGAGAAGCUAGCACAGGUCCAGGGAGGAGGCCUAGAGACUCUUCUGGUUUGCCUUAGAAGAAAAGGACUUUUGGUUUGGCUGGAGGGCCAAAGCAACAACACACUUUAAAUCAAUGGCCCAGCUCAGGAAAGACUCUCUCCAGUGGGGAAACUCAUCAGAGCCGUGCAUGGGGACAUUAGAGAGAGCAAGCAGUAUCUCAGAGAAGAUCUUUUGGACAUUAUUCUUCUUCACCAGGCUUCUGAGUUUCCUGAAGUCACCUACUAUCUGCGAGAUAUCCUACAAUGCAGUGUCAUUAGUAUUGAUAUGGACCAUCACCAGUGGAUCGUUGCCUGCUGACUUCAGAGGCCUAUCCAAUCUUAAAGUGACGUCUCAUGUCUUGGCUCCAAGAAGACAGCACACCUGUUGUCUGCUUGUCCCUUGCAGAAUGUUCUUUUGAUUUUUCAGAGUAUUGAAUCCCCAACAAGGACUGUCUGUCCUCCUUGGACAGCUGGAGAACUCUUUAUGGGCAAGCUUGCUUUUCUUACAGGUUGGGCUGAGCUGCCAUAAGUGUUUCCUGUACAUCUCUCCAUUCCCAUGGACCAGCUGGAUCUUGGAAGGCAUCUUCCACAGUUUCCAUGUUGAGGAGCUAGUGUCUAUUGGAAACUUCUGUGUGGAAUUCUUCCUUGUCCUCUUCCUGGUGGUCACAGCCUGCCCAUCCUCAUCUGUGUCCAGCUGUGAAGAAUACUGAUGUGAUCUCUUGCCUCUGUCAGUAACUGAAGAAACUGUAUUAGGCUAUAACCAAUGUUGUGCAUGGAAAACUUCUGCUGUAGAAAACACACUUCUGAAAAAUUAUAUUGAAAUAGAUAUCUUCCAACAGCCAGCCUUUCUGCAAUGAGAGGAGGGCGUUCUCCUCUGGAACAGAGCUCAGCAUCAUGUGUAUGAAACUUUAAUACAAUCCAUCCCUGUAUGUUAUAUUAUUAGCAGCUGAACAACAUUAUUAUUCAUUCUGUGCUGUCCGUGUGAUAGGCGCUAAAGUGGAAGUUACUCAUGGAGAAACAAACUAAAUGAUCCUAUCUUCUUCCUUCUUCCAAUCUGUGUCAUACAUUCCUUUGCAGAUGUGCUGCUCAAAUCCAGCCCUAGUAAGCAAUACAGAAAUGCUAGAGUUAGAAGCUCAUGUUCCUGCAUUGUACUGAAUUUAGUACAUAAGCACAAAAAUUGAUUACGAAGUCACUAUCUGUCUGGUAAAGUUGGUGUCUUGCCAGGGGGUCUCUGUAGGGAAUUACUUCGUAAUACAAGUGCAAACCUCUGGCUAUGGCUCUUCUGGGGGAGCCACAGCCGAGUCCCAUCAAUCUAGCAACAAAUCUGACACUGUGUUUGAAUAUGUGACCUUUCCUUCUCACUCCAUGUAAUUUAUCUCUCCACCAAGGAAAGACUUCCAGAGAGAAAUAAACAAGUGUCUGCUGGCGUGAAGUAGUCAAAGGGAAAAUAAAAUGACAAAUGAACCUCUAUGACAUAAGCAGGUUGACAUGACAAACUGCCAGUGCGUUCACACCUAAGCCCUCUGAGAGCUAGUUCAUCUGCUGAUGGUUAAGGAGAGGAGCCUUCCGCCGUGGGUUCUGUAUUUGUGAAUAUAUUCUAUUAUCUAUUGACUCGCUAUUAAAGCUCUCUUAAUGCCCUGCAGCCCAAUAUUUGGGAAAACUGGAUGAAGUCACAUUACUGUCGGAAGACAAAGACAAGGCCGAGUCAAGCGUCUGUGGGUCAUCAACACCGCAAAAUCAAAAACAUGGCAGCAAGUCUCAGAGUUUGAGUCAAUUUACUUGGGCUUGCACUAUGGGGCUAAAAACAGCAGUGUAGACUUCCCACUCAGGCUGGAGCCUGGGCUCUGAGACUUUCCCUCCUCCCCAGGUCUCAGAGCCCACGCUCCAGCUGGAGCCCAAACAAUACAAAUAGUUAAUAAGAAGAUACCAGGCCAUCUUGGUGAGCUUUUAUUUAGGGCUUUUGGGGUGUUCUACUAUUUCCCUGGCAGAAAUCUCUCAGCUACAAACAUUUCCAGGCUAUGGGACUGAAGAAUGUUGUUGGGGGAAUCUGAGAUUGUUGCUGGGUAACGUUCCUGUUAGCCAUACAUUUUUUUUCUUUUAAAUUGCACACCACAAUGGCAGGCAAUUAAAAGAAUAUUGAGAUCAACCUGGGACAAAGGACAAGUUUUGAAAACUGUUUGUUCUUCAAGGGACUCUAAGAUGGAAAGAAGAAGUUGCUGCGAUUCGUGCCAGCUGGCUGGCCCUCAGCCUGUACUGUAACCAAUAAAACUUUCUAUAUCCACUGAACAAAAUAACCCAUGUGGAACGAGGCCUUGAAUGAGACAUUCUACAUGUUGCUUCUAAAACGCACCCUUCUGCACAUAAUUUAACUUGCAUAGUGGUGGGGAAGGAGAGAUUUUUCAUGAUCUCAGUAGGAUGGAAUCAUUGUUCCGUUUCAUUUUCAAAAGCCUGGUGAUGACCCAGAGUCACACCUCACCCCAUCUAGCAGAUUGUUUCUCUGAAUCCAGGGUGACUGACUAGAGAGAAUGUGUCCCAAAAGCAGCCCUGGAUCACAGGUGCAUGAGCAUAUUUGUUUCCAAAGACAUUUUCUUUCUUCUAGGAAAAACAAGAGCUGUGAUUGUGCUCCCUCUGUUCAGUUUAAUUGCUUCUAUGCCUCUUGGGUUUUAAAUGAGAUCAUUUGUUUCACAUAUUAGAAAAAGGGCAUAUUGGGAUUUACUGUUCAUGUCUCCUAAAUUUGUUGUGUUCUCUUGUUUGGUAUGUGGCUUUUUAUGCUUCCUCCAGACCAAAUUUUUUUUUUUAAUCUAAAUGUUACAGCGGGGAACCGAGAGUGUGAUUUUUAGAACCUGGUGUACAACAUUUUGCAGGCAAAAAGGAACCUGUAGUUACCAUGGCUGCCUGUGCACAUGCAUCAUCACAGUAACUGUAUCUGCAGUUAAAAGUGCAUUUAACCUGCAGUAAUUGUACACAGCGCUUUCUUCCAUCGUUCACUUUUUGCCCAUGCAAUUCUAAAAUCCUUGUCCCUAUACUGAACUCUGCCCUAAACUUAACGUGACUAGACCAAGAGCGCACAGAAGUCCCUGCAAGAUUCUCCCAGAUGUGAAAUGAGUGAUGAUUAUUGGUGGAGCUGGUUAAAGAGCCGAAUAAAUAUUCCAUUG